UGGGGAUACAGCCGGAAACGGCUGCUAAUACCGAAUACGAUCUUUUCGUCGCAUGACGAAAAAAGAAGAAAAGGGAAUGGCCUCUAUACAAAGCUAUCGCCGAAGGAGGGGUUUUGCGUCUGAUUAGCUGGUUGGAGGGGUAACGGCCCAACAAGGCGAUGAUCAGUAGCCGGUCUGAGAGGAUGAACGGCCACAUUGGGACUGAGACACGGCCCAGACUCCUACGGGAGGCAGCAGUGGGGAAUCUUCCGCAAUGGACGAAAGUCUGACGGAGCAACGCCGCGUGAGUGAAGAAGGUCUUCGGAUUGUAAAGCUCUGUUAUACGGGACGAAAAAGACGGAUGCCAACAGUAUCCGUCCGUGACGGUACCGUAAGAGAAAGCCACGGCUAACUACGUGCCAGCAGCCGCGGUAAAU
rnacentral:rRNA from 1 species